rnacentral:rRNA from 1 species
GACGAACCGUGCGACCGUUAUUCGGAAUCACUGGGCUUAAAGCGCGUGUAGGCGGGUCGGUGCGUCGGCCGCUGAAAUCCCCCGGCUCAACCGGGGAAGGGGCGCCGAUACGACCGGCCUGGAGCGACGUAGGGGGAACUGGAACUUCCGGUGGAGCGGUGAAAUGCGUUGAGAUCGGAAGGAACGCCCGUGGAGAAAGCGAGUUAAUGGACGUCGGCUGACGCUGAGACGCGAAAGCCAGGGGAGCGAACGGG